UAGCACAGAGAGCUUGCUCUCGGGUGACGAGGUGGCGGACCGGGUGAGUAAUGUCGUGGGGAUCUCGCCCGAUAGGAGGGGGAUAACCACUAGGAAACGGUGGCUAAUACCGCAUAACGUCGACAAGAACCAAAGGAGGGGACCUUCGGGCCUCUCACUAUCGGAUCGAACCCAGAUGGGAUUAGCUAGUAGGCGGGGUAAUGGCCCACCUAGGCGACGAUCCCUAACUGGUCUGAGAGGAUGACCAGCCACACUGGAACUGAGACACGGUCCAGACUCC
rnacentral:rRNA from 1 species